GAAGAACUACUUGAGUGUGCUUAGUUCUGCUCUUCCUGCUCUCCACUUUUGGCCUGAUCUUGUCAACAAGAAACUUCUAUUUUCUGACAGACAGCUCCUCGCAAGGGAACUUCGAGUUUCCUGUUUUUCCUGUCGUGGGAUGAAGCAUUAACAAGAUCAGUAUAUCACAGAUAUUACUACCCCCACUUCAUAAAUGAAGAAACUGUAACCCAAAGAGAAAUCACCAACAUUAAGACUGCUAAACAAAUGAGAUGCUGGAUCCGAGUUUAUUUGACUACUACUAUCAACAGGUUAAAUCAGAUUUGAGGACAAUGAAGGGUUAAUGAAAUGAUCUUGGUGUAAUUACUCAUUAUAAAACAUCUCCGUCUUGGUUGAGGCCUUACUUGGAAAAAAAAAAAGUCUCCUGGUGCAGCAGCAACAAAGGAAGCUGAUAAAGGAAGGGAGAGCUGCCUAUUCUUUACAAAAAGCAUUUAUAUAACUCAAGCUGUUAAAAUCAUGCAUAGAAAUGCCAAGGUUUUGAGGUUUUGCCUCCCUCCGGUGUGGAAGCAUGGUACAUCGCCAUCCACGAACAUGAAGUCAUCAAAUCCCCUUUUCCACUGAUAAAUUGGUGCUAAAUGAAGCUGCAUAAAAAAGCAAAGAUCAAAGCAGAAAAUCUCAAGAGAUCCAUGCACUUCAUAUUUUAGACAGCUUUCUGCAUAAAAUUACUUAGGAGUAGAUGGCAGAAAAACACUGGGUUCCAGUCCUAUCUCAGCCCUUGUGUGAUUUGAACACUAGAAAAGCUUCUCACUAACACCUUUACCACAAGUCUCAUUGCAUUUUAGUUUUCAGUUGUACAGAUGUCUUCCUAAAAAGCAAAGUUAAUCAUGACGUUUCCCCAUACGAAAGAAUAUUGUAAUUACCUGAAUACAAAGAAUAAAAUUAAAAUUGUUCAGAUAGACACUUAAGGCCCUUCACAACUGUAGACUUUUCUAGAAUCUUACCACUUGUUUGUCAUCUUUGUCAU
rnacentral:lncRNA from 1 species